UACGUAGGGGGCAAGCGUUGUCCGGAAUUAUUGGGCGUAAAGAGCGUGUAGGCGGUCCGGUAAGUCAGCUGUGAAAGUCAAGGGCUCAACCCUUGAAUGCCGGUUGAUACUGUCGGGCUAGAGUCCGGAAGAGGCGAGUGGAAUUCCCGGUGUAGCGGUGAAAUGCGCAGAUAUCAGGAGGAACACCGAUGGCGAAGGCAGCUCGCUGGGACGGUACUGACGCUGAGACGCGGAAGCGUGGGGAGCGAACAGG
rnacentral:rRNA from 1 species